rnacentral:rRNA from 1 species
UGGGGAAUCUUGGACAAUGGGGGCAACCCUGAUCCAGCCAUGCCGCGUGAGUGAUGAAGGCCUUAGGGUCGUAAAGCUCUUUCGCCUGUGAAGAUAAUGACGGUAGCAGGUAAAGAAACCCCGGCUAACUCCGUGCCAGCAGCCGCGGUAAUACGGAGGGGGUUAGCGUUGUUCGGAAUUACUGGGCGUAAAGCGCACGUAGGCGGACCAGAAAGUUGGGGGUGAAAUCCCGGGGGGCUCAACCCCGGAACUGCCUCCAAAACUAUUGGUCUAGAGUUCGAGAGAGGUGAGUGGAAUUCCAAGUGUAGAGGUGAAAUUCGUAGAUAUUUGGAGGAACACCAGUGGCGAAGGCGGCUCACUGGCUCGAUACUGACGCUGAGGUGCGAAAGUGUGGGGAGCAAACAGGAUUAGAUACCCUGGUAGUCCACACCGUAAAACGAUGAAUGCCAGUCGUCGGGUAGCAUGCUAUUCGGUGACACACCUAACGGAUUAAGCAUU